UGGACUUGACAUAUUUUUGACAACCAUGGAAACAUGGCUUCUCUUCGGAGCAGAUAUACAGGUGCUGCAUGGCUGUCGUCAGCUCGUGCCGUGAGGUGUUCGGUUAAGUCCGGCAACGAGCGCAACCCGCGUCGUUAGUUACUAACAGGUUAUGCUGAGGACUCUAGCGAGACUGCCCGUGUUAAGCGGGAGGAAGGCGCGGAUGACGUCAAGUCAGUAUGGCCCUUAUGUCCAGGGCUGCACACGUGCUACAAUGGCCGGUAUAAUAGGACGCGAUACUGCGAGGUGGAGCAAAUCCCCAAAACCGGUCUUAGUUCGGAUUGGAGUCCGCAACUCGACUCCAUGAAG
rnacentral:rRNA from 1 species